CAAAGAAGAAUGUGGGGGUGUUGUGCUUCGGCGCACGCUCCCUCUCUCUCACACACACCUGUGGUAUGUUGCACACUUGCUGGCAGCGUGUGCGUGGUCCUCGGACCCGGCUGCCGGACUUUUGGGUGACACGUCAUUAUGACAUGGCGCUCUUUGCAACCACACUCUAACACGACAAUUGAACAUGCGCUCGUGUCGUUCUCGGGCGACCAGCGUACACAAUCUCUGAAA
rnacentral:misc_RNA from 1 species